rnacentral:misc_RNA from 1 species
UGUUGAGUUGGUGAACGUUCGAUGAUCAGCAUCGUGCCUUUCUUUCAGUUUUGAAUCGGCAGCUUAAAUGGAUUUUGAAAACUUGGUAUUCUAAAGACAAGUUCGUUUUAUUACAGUACUAGUUCAUCCCCAUCAUGCAUGUGAAAUCAGUGUUGUUAGAUGGGGGUGUGCAGAAAUUUUGAUAGAAACUAGCUGAAUCUGGCUUUGCAUGGGUCAUGUUUCUUUGAAGUUGGACUCAUGCUGUGCGUGUGAAUUUUGGCGAACUUUGUUAAGGGGAGGAAGAAUUAUGCAUUGAGGUAUUUAAAGCAUCAAACCUCUAGUGAACUUGAGGUGAAACAUGAUUGAAACAGUUUGGUUUAAAUUGCGAGGGACCAUUCCCUUUUCCACAUGUUAAUGGAUUUGAUAUGUAUUGAGGUUCU